GCCGUUCUGUUGUUGCGCGUGUAGCAGUCGAGCGCAGGAAGCAAGUUGAUCCCCUUCGGGGGUGACGCUUGUGGAAUGAACGGCGGACGGGUGAUUAACACGUGGGCAACCUGCCUGUAAGACUGGGAUAACCCCGGGAAACCGGGGCUAAUACCGGAUAAUACUUUCUUUUGCAUAAAGGAAAGUUGAAAGGCGGCUUCGGCUGUCACUUACAGAUGGGCCCGCGGCGCAUUAGCUAGUUGGUGAGGUAACGGCUCACCAAGGCGACCAUGCGUAGCCGACCUGAGAGGGUGAUCGGCCACACUGGGACUGAGACACGGCCCAGACUCCUACGGGAGGCAGCAGUAGGGAAUCUUCCGCAAUGGACGAAAGUCUGACGGAGCAACGCCGCGUGAGUGAUGAAGGUUUUCGGAUCGUAAAACUCUGUUGUUAGGGAAGAACAAGUUGGGUAGUAACUGACCCAACCUUGACGGUACCUAACCAGAAAGCCACGGCUAACUACGUGCCAGCAGCCGCGUUAAUACGUUAGGUGGCAACUGUUUUCCGAAAUUAUUGGGGAAAAACGUUCGCAAGGCGUUCCUUUAAUUUUGAUGUGAAAUCUGGGGGAUCAACCGGAAAGGUCAUAGAAACAGGAGGACUUGAGUCUGAAGAGGAGAGUGGAAUUUCAGUGUAACGUGAAAUGUGUAGAGAUAUGGAGGACCCCCAUUGGGAAGCGACUCUCUGGUUUGUAACUGACGGUGAGGAGCGAAAGGGUGGGGGACGAACAGGGAUUAGAUGCCUUGGUAGUCCACGCCGUAAACGAUGAGUGCUAGGUGUUAGGGGGGUUUCCGCCCCUUAGUGCUGAAGUUAACGCAUUAAGCACUCCGCCUGGGGAGUACGGCCGCAAGGCUGAAACUCAAAAGAAUUGACGGGGGCCCGCACAAGCGGUGGAGCAUGUGGUUUAAUUCGAAGCAACGCGAAGAACCUUACCAGGUCUUGACAUCCUUUGCUAUUCCUAGAGAUAGGAAGUUCCCUUCGGGGACAGAGUGACAGGUGGUGCAUGGUUGUCGUCAGCUCGUGUCGUGAGAUGUUGGGUUAAGUCCCGCAACGAGCGCAACCCUUGAUCUUAGUUGCCAGCAUUUAGUUGGGCACUAUAAGGUGACUGCCGGUGACAAACCGGAGGAAGGUGGGGAUGACGUCAAUUCAUCAUGCCCCUUAUGACCUGGGGUACACACGUGUUACAAUGGAUGGAACAAAGGGAAGCAAAACCGCGAGGUCAAGCAAAUCCCAUAAAACCAUUCUCAGUUCGGAUUUCAGGCUGCAACUCGACUGCAUGAAGCCGGAAUCGCUAGUAAUCGCGGAUCAGCAUGCCGCGGUGAAUACGUUUCCGGGCGUUGUACACACCGCCCGUCACACCACGAGAGUGGUAUCACCCGAAGUCGGUGAGGUAACCUGGAGCCAGCUCAGGAGCGAACGGGGAACAGGGC
rnacentral:rRNA from 1 species